rnacentral:tRNA from 1 species
GGGGAUUUAGCUCAGUGGCAUAAGCGCCUGCCUUGCAAGCAUGUGGUAGUGAGUUUAAUCCCCA